AGAGUUUGAUCAUGGCUCAGAACGAACGCUGGCGGCGUGCUUAACACAUGCAAGUCGAACGCGAACGGGUAUCUUCGGAUACCUUAGUAAAGUGGCGCACGGGUGAGUAACGCGUAAGUAAUCUACCCUGGCAUCCGGGAUAACCCACCGAAAGGUGUGCUAAUACCGGAUACGAUAAUAUUAGCAGAAGUUAGUAUUAAGAAAGAUGGCCUCUUUUUUAUGCUAUUGUGCUGGGAGGAGCUUGCGUACCAUUAGCUAGUUGGUGGGGUAAAGGCCUACCAAGGCGACGAUGGUUAGCGGGUCUGAGAGGAUGAUCCGCCACACUGGAACUGGAACACGGACCAGACUCCUACGGGAGGCAGCAGUGAGGAAUAUUGCGCAAUGGGGGCAACCCUGACGCAGCGACGCCGCGUGGAUGAUGAAGGCUUUCGAGUCGUAAAAUCCUGUCAGAUGGGAAGAAGUGUAUAUAUAUUAAUACUGUAUAUAUUUGACGGUACCAUCAAAG
rnacentral:rRNA from 1 species